CCUACGGGAGGCAGCAGUGAGGAAUAUUGGUCAAUGGGCGGAAGCCUGAACCAGCCAAGUCGCGUGAGGGAAGAAGGUACUGAGUAUUGUAAACCUCUUUUGCCAGGGGACAAAGGCGGCCACGGGUGGCCGUAAGGGGGUACCUGGAGAAAAAGCAUCGGCUAACUCCGUGCCAGCAGCCGCGGUAAUACGGAGGAUGCGAGCGUUAUCCGGAUUUAUUGGGUUUAACGGGUGCGCAGGCGGCGUGUCAAGUCAGCGGUAAAAUGUCGGGGCUAAACCCCGGCCGGCCGUUGAAACUGGCGUGCUAGAGUUGUAGAGAAGUAGGCGGAAUUCGUGGUGUAGCGGUGAAAUGCAUAGAGAUCACGAAGAACCCCGAUGGCGAAGGCAGCAUACCGGCUCCACACUGACGCUGAGGCACGAAAGCGUGGGGAUCGAACAGGAUUAGAUACCCUGGUAGUC
rnacentral:rRNA from 1 species